CCUACGGGUGGCAGCAGUGAGGAAUAUUGGUCAAUGGACGCAAGUCUGAACCAGCCAUGCCGCGUGCAGGAAGACGGCUCUAUGAGUUGUAAACUGCUUUUGUACGAGGGUAAACGCAGAUACGCGUAUCUGUCUGAAAGUAUCGUACGAAUAAGGAUCGGCUAACUCCGUGCCAGCAGCCGCGGUAAUACGGAGGAUUCAAGCGUUAUCCGGAUUUAUUGGGUUUAAAGGGUGCGUAGGCGGUCGGAUAAGUUAGAGGUGAAAUCCCGAGGCUCAACUUCGGAAUUGCCUCUGAUACUGUGCGGCUAGAGAGUAGUAGCGGUAGGCGGAAUGUAUGGUGUAGCGGUGAAAUGCUUAGAGAUCAUACAGAACACCGAUUGCGAAGGCAGCUUACCAAGCUACUUCUGACGUUGAGACACGAAAGCGUGGGGAGCAAACAGGAUUAGAUACCCCAGUAGUC
rnacentral:rRNA from 1 species